UGCAGUCGAACGAGAAAGCGGGGGCAACCUCGUGAGUAAAGUGGCGUACGGGUGAGUAACACGUGGAUCAUCUACCUCCGGGUGGGGAAUAACGCUGGGAAACCGGCGCUAAUACCGCAUAAGCUCGAGAGAGGAAAGCAGCAAUGCGCCGGGAGAGGAGUCCGCGGCCGAUUAGCUAGUUGGUGAGGUAACGGCCCACCAAGGCAAAGAUCGGUAGCCGGCCUGAGAGGGCACACGGCCACACUGGCACUGAAACACGGGCCAGACUCCUACGGGAGGCAGCAGUGGGGAAUCUUGCACAAUGGGGGAAACCCUGAUGCAGCGACGCCGCGUGAGCGAUGAAGCCCUUCGGGGUGUAAAGCUCUUUCGGCAGGGAAGAAUGAUGACGGUACCUGCAGAAGCAGCUGCGGCUAACUACGUGCCAGCAGCCGCGGUAAUACGUAGGCAGCGAGCGUUGUUCGGAGUUACUGGGCGUAAAGGGUGUGUAGGCGGUUCUCUAAGUUUGGUGUGAAAUCUCCCGGCUCAACCGGGAGGGUGCGCCGAAAACUGGGGGACUAGAGUGCGGGAAGGGAGAGUGGAAUUCCUGGUGUAGCGGUGAAAUGCGUAGAUAUCAGGAGGAACACCGGUGGUGUAGACGGCUCUCUGGACCGUAACUGACGCUGAGACACGAAAGCGUGGGUAGCAAACAGGAUUAGAUACCCUGGUAGUCCACGCCCUAAACGAUGCAUAUUUGGUGUAGGUCAUUCAGUUGAUCUGUGCCGGAGCUAACGCGUUAAUAUGCCGGCCUGGGGGAGUACAGUCGCAAGGCUGAAACUCAAAGGAAUUUGACGGGGGGCCCGCACAAGCGGUUGGAGGAUGG
rnacentral:rRNA from 1 species